AGUGAACGCUGGCGGUAGGCCUAACACAUGCAAGUCGAACGGCAGCACAGUAAGAGCUUGCUCUUACGGGUGGCGAGUGGCGGACGGGUGAGGAAUACAUCGGAAUCUACUUUUUCGUGGGGGAUAACGUAGGGAAACUUACGCUAAUACCGCAUACGACCUACGGGUGAAAGCAGGGGAUCUUCGGACCUUGCGCGAUUGAAUGAGCCGAUGUCGGAUUAGCUAGUUGGCGGGGUAAAGGCCCAGCAAGGCGACGAUCCGUAGCUGGUAUGACAGGAUGAACAGCCACACUGGAAGUGAGACACGGUCCAGACUCCUACGGGAGGCAGCAGUGGGGAAUCUUGGACGAUGGGGGAGAGCCUGAUCCAGCCAUACCGCGUGGGUGAAGAAGGACUUCGGGUGGUAAAGCCCUGUUGUUGGGAAAGAAGAACAGCAGGUUAAUACCCCGCGGUACUGACGGUACCGAAAGAAUAAGCACCGGCUAACUUCGUG
rnacentral:rRNA from 1 species